rnacentral:lncRNA from 1 species
CUGGGUUUUAAAUAGACAUGUUGUAGUUGAGGUUGGAACUGCCUCUGCAUCACAUUGCCAUCUCACUCUCCUAUAUCAUUAAGUCUUUAUUGUCUCUCCCACCUUAACAUCUCAUUUUUCCUACUGACAUUGGUAUCAAGAGCAAGAGAGAGAGAAAGGAAAAAGAACUAGCAUUGUAUGGUCUGCAAUAAAUUUCCUUUUUUUAUUCUGCACCAAAUCUUUCUUCUAUUAACACUACCGUGAUCAGCCAGACUAUCUUCCUCAUUUUUCUGUGGCAGCAAAAGCCACUUUCCUCACAUUUCUUUUUUUUCUCUGCUCAAACCUCAUAAACAGUAACAGAACCCACUUGCCUCUUUUUUCUUCAACAUCCGCAUAAACAGUAAAAGAAGCC